rnacentral:rRNA from 1 species
UGCUUUGCUGACGAGUGGCGGACGGGUGAGUAAUGUCUGGGAAACUGCCUGAUGGAGGGGGAUAACUACUGGAAACGGUGGCUAAUACCGCAUAACGUCGCAAGACCAAAGGGGGGGACCUUCGGGCCUCUUGCCAUCAGAUGUGCCCAGAUGGGAUUAGCUUGUUGGUGAGGUAACGGCUCACCAGGGCGACUAUCCCUAGCUGGUCUGAGAGGAUGACCAGCCACACUGGAACUGAGACACGGUCCACACUCCUACGGGGGGCAGCAGUGGGGAAUAUUGCACAGUGGGCGCAAGCCUGAUGCACCCAUGCCGCGUGUAUGAAGAAGGCCUUCGGGUUGUAAAGUACUUUCAGCGGGGAGGAAGGUGUUGUGGUUAAUAACCGCAGCAUUUGACGUUCCCCGCAAAAGAAGCACCGGCUAACUCCGUGCCAGCACCCGCGGUAAUACGGAGGGUGCAAGCGUUAAUCGGAAUUACUGGGCGUAAAGCGCACGCGGGCGGUCUGUCAAGUCGGAUGUGAAAUCCCCGGGCUCAACCUGGGAACUGCUUUCAAAACUGGCGGGUUUGAGUCUUGUAGAGGGGGGUAGAAUUCC